CUAAAGUAGAUGAUUUAUAUUACUUGUGAUAUAAAUUUUGAAACUUUAGUGAGUAGGAAGGUACAAUGGUAAGCGUAGAAGUGUUUGGCGUAAGCCUGCAUGGAGCUGCCAUUGGCACAGAUCUUGGUGGUAGUAGCAAAUAAUCGAAUGAGACCUUGGAGGACUGAAGUGGAGAAGGGUUUCGUGUGAACAGUGGUUGAUCACGAGUUAGUCGGUCCUAAGUUCAAGGCGAAAGCCGAAAAUUUUCAAGUAAAAAAUCAAUAAGCAUAUAUUGUCAAAUCUUUAAUGAUUUUUUUGAAACACUUGAAUAAUUUUGAACGAAAGGGAAUACGGUUCCAAUUCCGUAACCUGUUGAGUAUCCGUUUGUUAUUAAAUAUGGGCCUCGUGCUCAUCCUGGCAACAGGAACGACCAUAAAGAAGCCGUCGAGAGAUAUCGGAAGAGUUUUCUUUUCUGUUUUAUAGCCGUACUACCAUGGAAGUCUUUCGCAGAGAGAUAUGGUAGAUG
rnacentral:rRNA from 1 species